rnacentral:misc_RNA from 1 species
UUAUAUACAUUAAUUCUGAUGACUUACGCCAACACUCCCCCUCAAGUUGGUACAAAGAUAUCUCUAACACCUAACUUGUCAAAUGAGUCAUGAAAUUUUUUACUGGACACUGCCUUAGUGAGUACAUAUGCCAGCUGGUCUUCUGAUCUGACAAAUGGAAAUUGAAUGAUUUUCUCAUCAAGGUUCUUUUUUAUGAAAUGCCUAUCUACUUCAACAUGCUUUGUGCGAUCAUGUUGAACGGGGUUGUGAGAUAUAUCAAUGGCAGCCUUGUUGUCACAGAAUAAACUCAUUUCAGAACCAGGACAAAAACCAAUCUCUGUUAAUUGUUUCCGAAGCCAGAGAAGCUCACAUAGUCCUUUAGCCAUACCUCUGAAUUCAGCUUCAGCACUUGACAACGCCACCACAUUUUGUUUCUUGCUUCUCCAUGUAGCCAAAUUUCCUCCCACGAAAGUGAAGUAUCCUGAGGUUUAUUUUCGAUCCAUGACAUUCCCUGCCCAAUCCGCAUCCGUAUAACCUUCAAUAUUUAGAUAACCAUUCUUGGUGAACAUCAACCCUUUCCCUGGUGAGCCUUUUAAAUAGUGUAGAAUCCGAAAAACUGCAUCCAUAUGAUUCUCCCUCGGACAGUGCAUGAACUGACUUACUAUGCUCACAGCAUACGCAAUGUCAGGGCGAGUAUGUGACAAAUAAAUCAGCUUACCCACUAGCCUUUGGUAUCUUCCUUUGUCAGCUGGUGCUUGAUUAGAACAUAACCCAAGUCCAUGAUUUUGAACAAUUGGACUAUCUGCUGGCUUGCAAUCCACCAGUCCUACUUCUGCUAACAAAUCUAACACAUAUUUUCUUUGAGAAAGAAAUAUGCCUCUUUUCAAUCUUGCCACCUCUAUCCCUAGAAAAUAUUUAAGCCCACCUAAGUCCUUCAUUUCGAAUUCAGCAGACAACUACUCUUGUAAUUUGGAGAUUUCCUCAACAUCAUCUCCUGUGAUAAUCAUGUCGUCAACGUAAACAAGCAAAGCAGUUACCUUUCCUUGUCCAUGCUUUAGGAAAAGUGUGUGAUCUGAAUUACUUUGAUAAUAGCCAUAUUUUUUCAUAGCAGAGCUGAAUCGACCAAACCAUGCCCGAGGGGACUGUUUUAGUCCAUAUAGUGCCUUUUCCAAUUUGCAUACAAAUUUGGUUUCUAGAGAGACUGUAUAGCCCGGUGGAAUGUCCAUGUAGACUUCUUUUUCAAGAUCGCCAUGGAGAAAGGCGUUCUUCACGUCAAGUUGGUGUAAAGGCCAGUCUAAAUUUGCUGCAAGAGAUAAUAACACUCUAACAGUAUUCAGUUUCACAACCAGAGAGAAUGUCUCGGAGUAAUCUACACCAUAUGUUUGUGUGAAUCCCUUCGCCACAAGCCUUUCCUUGUACCUGUCAAUCGAUCCAUCAGCCUUGUAUUUUAUAGAAAACACCCACUUACAUCCCACUAGUUUUUUUCCUUCUGGUAGUGGAACUAGAUUCCAGGUGUUAUUUUUCUGCAAGGCCUUCAGCUCCUCCUCAACUGCUUUUACCCAAUUUGGGUUAGUCAAAGCUUCUUCAAUACUACUUGGAAUAUGAUGAGAGGACAAUGCUUGCAUAAACGUCUUGAUAGGCUUGGGUAGUUCUUGAGUGGACACAUAAUUGGCAAUUGGAUAUCUUGUCUUUCUUUCUUGCUCAUCAGGGGAGUAUCUCUUUGGUGGUUUUCCACGAUUUUGCCUAAAAGGCAGAACAUAGAUAGAAGUAUCCAAGUUGUUAGUAUGAGGAUGAGUAAUAGGAGAGCUUACCUCAUGAAUAUUCUCAGUAGGAGGAGAUCCUUCGGGUACUGGAGUGAGAGGGGGUGUGACAUUCACUUCAUUAUCAGAUUGGAGUGUAAUUGGUGUAGCAUGCUCUCCACUGGUAAGUUGUUCAUCGUUGUCUCUACUGUCAGAUUCUUCUCUAUCAAGUACAUCUCUAAGUUUCUCAUUUUCUAGUGCUAUUUCCCCAUUGUCAAUUUCAACUCCUGUUAUUACCUCACCUACUAGAAACCAACUUGUCUCAUCUCCUUGAAGCCAACUCGACUCUUCAACUGUAGACUCCCCCUGAAGAGCUGAGUUAGAUAUUCUGUUUUGGAAGAAUGACUCAGAUUCUAGGAAUGUCACGUCCAUGGAGGUAUAAGUACGAUUUAUGAUAGGAUCAAAGCACCUAUAUCCUUUUUUAUGUAAUCCGUAGCCCAAAAACACACAUCGAAUGGCAUAGGGAUCUAGCUUAGUCCGUUGGUUUUUAUGAAGAUGGACAAAAGCAACACAGCUGAAAACUCGAGGAGGAAGCAUAAGAACUGAAGGCAAAGAGAUAUGGGUGGACAACACCUACAAUGGAGUUUUGAAAUUUAAGACUUUGGAAGGCAUCCGAUUUAGCAAAUAAACAGCAAUUGUGACUGCAUCAUCCCAGUGGCGAUUAGGUACAUUCGUACCAAGAAGUAGUGCUCAUGCAGUCUCUAAUACAUGGCGAUUUUUCCUCUCCGCAACGUCAUUCUGCUGUGGAGUUUGUGGGCAUGAUGUCUCAUGAAGAAGACCAUGUUGUUGAAAAUAAGCUUGGAAUUUGUUGUUGAUAAACUCUCCUCCAUUAUUUGAUCGAAGAACCUGUAUGUUGGCUGAAAAUUAGAUCUGUACCAUAGUAUGAAAUGCUUGAAAAAUGGAAAACACUUCAUCUUUAGUCUUCAUCAGGUAAAGCCAUGUCAUGCGUGUACAAUCGUCGACAAAGAUCACAAACCAACAACAAUUAGAGGGAGUAGUUAUUGGGGAAGGUCCCCAACCAUCAGAAUGUAUCAAGGAGAAAGGAGUACUAUUUUUAUUCAAACUUGGUGGAUAACAAACUCUAUGAUUCUUUGCCAAAAUACAUGUUUCACAUCUCAAGUCUUUAUUCUGUAAAUGGGAAAACAAAUCUGGGAAUAAAUGUCGUAAAUAACCGAAUGAUGGAUGCCUCAAGCGACGAUGCCAAAGCCAUAUUUGUCCUUCUUUGCUACUGACAUUAUUGGCUCGACCUGGACUGAAGUCAUCUAAGCAAUACAACCCCCCUCUCUUAGUACCACGCCCAAUUAUCUCCUUGCUGAGAAUAUCCUGUAUAAGACAAAAUUUUGGAUACAUUAGUACCACACAAUUUAGUUCUUCAGUAAUUUAACUCACUAACAUCAAUUUAUUUGAUAAAGAUGGAACCAAAAGAGUAUGAGAUAAGGACAAAGACGGUGAUAUUGAUACAACUCUAGCCCUAGUGACUGGAUGUGCAACUCCAUUGGCAUUAGUAAUACAGGUUUGCCGUAGUGGUGUCCUUUUGGAGAAGUCACUGGCGUCAAAAGUCAUGUGAUCUGUGGGCCCAGAGUCGAUAAUCCAGUCAUCAUCAUUAGAAUCAUUGGAGCUAUAAAAAGCUUGGCCAUAUUUACCUUCAUCACUGUCUACAGUAGUAGCAUAUGUGCCAGGAAUAAGAGCUAAUUGAGGUUCAGCAGUGGCAACGGCUGUGUGACCCAUGUUUCCAGUCGUAUUUGCAGUAUCUUGCUUCUUCUUAGUUUGUAAUUCAUGCCACCAAUCCGGGUACCCAUGUAGUUUGAAGCAAGUAUCUCGGGUGUGCUUUGUGUUGCCAAAAUGGGUGCACUUCCCUUCACCAGAUUGGCCCUUAGAUCUGGUUGAUGAUCCAAUCUUCGUCAGUUGUGGCUAACUUGAUUUAACUCCUUUAGUAGCCAUGACAGCACCAUUAGAAGCAUUCUCCAUACUCAAUGCCAUCACAGUUUGGCGAGUAUCUUCUCUUUGAACGUAUGCGUAUGCCUGCUCAAUGGUAGGGAACGGUUUUAGCUAGAGAACGUCACUUCUAAUGUUAUCAAGUCUGUCAUCUAAUCCAUCUAGGAAAAUAUAAACUCUUUCCUCUUGGAGAAGAGAAUUAUAUUUCUGUAUAUCCAUAGCACAUUCCAUUGGGUUGGGACGACAAAAAUCAAUUUCAUGCCAUAACCCUUGUAGAUCAUUGUAGUAUUUUUGUAUGGAUCCACCGCCUUGCCGCAUUCGAGAUACCCGUCGUCGAAGGUCAUAAACCUGUGAUGAGUCAGAUCCAUCAAAGUAUGUAGUAGCAAUAGAAUCCCAAACCUGUUUGGCUGUGGAGAACCGAAUGAAAUUCCCAACCAAGGAUGGCUCCAUUGAGUUGAUCAGCCACCCUUUCACAAUGACAUUCUCUAUUCACCAUUUGCAGAAAGAUGGGUCUGUCUCUGGUGGCUGUGGAAGGUCUUCGUUGAUAUAUCCCAGCUUGUCUUUGCCUGAGAUAUACAUCUCAACAACCUGGGACCAUAAGGCAUAGUUAGAGUCAUUUAACUUGAUGUUUAUUGGUACUAUUGUACAAUCAAUGGUGGAUGAGGCCUGAGUACAUGACAUAACUUCAGUUAUCUUGGUUGUCAAGUUGUCAAGUCUGGAUUCGGUUGAGGUGUUUGGUGAUGAUGCUAGUUUUGUAUGGUCUUCCAUGGCUUUCAGUGGCUUGAGUUCCUUUCCAAGUCAAUUCACAGGCAACCCAACCUGCUCUGAUAUCAUGUUAAAGAUAGCAAUCAGAUCUAUAUUUCAUUCAUCAUUUGUAUCCAAUAUAUACAGGUACAAAGAGAGAGUUUAAGAAGAUAUAUAUGGCUAUACAAGAUGUGAGGCUAAAUUUAAGCAUGUCCUUGAAAACCAAGGAAUCUCUACAGCUGUAGUUUCUAUAUACAUUAAUUCUGAUGACUCACGCCAACAUGCUAAUGGUAUGUGGGAAUGUAUAUCUUCAUUAAUCUAUUAGUGGCUUACAUUUGAAUAUUCUUUUAAUGAAAUUAAAAUAACUGUUUGAAGUGCAUAUGAAGGUGUUAAUGAUUGGCACCUUAAACUUGGCAUUCUUAAAUUCGAUGUCUCCUUAUUUCUACAAACAACUAGAAGAACUAUUUUUCAACUG